CAGCAGCCACGGUAAUACGAGGGGGGCAAGCGUUGUUCGGAAUUAUUGGGCGUAAAGGGUGCGUAGGCGGUUUGGCAAGUUUGGUGUGAAAUCUUCGGGCUCAACUCGAAGUCUGCAUCGAAAACUGCCGGGCUUGAGUAUGGGAGAGGUGAGUGGAAUUUCCGGUGUAGCGGUGAAAUGCGUAGAUAUCGGAAGGAACACCUGUGGCGAAAGCGGCUCACUGGACCAUAACUGACGCUGAUGCACGAAAGCUAGGGGAGCAAACAGGAUUAGAUACCCCGGUAGUCCCUGUCUCUUAUAC
rnacentral:rRNA from 1 species